GCCCCAUGUGUCACACUUGCUAUAAAUUUCAGUUCAUUUUCCGUUUUAACUUCCCAAAAAGACUUUCGAAAUUUGAAAAAGUUUUGCUAUUGAAAAAAGUAAAAAAAAAAAAAAUAAAUAAAAAUUCGUCAAAUAAAAAUAGGGAAAUAUUGAAAACAUAAAUUCUUUGAAAAUUUUAAUAGAUUUGGAAAUGAUUAGAGUAUUUGGCUGUGUAAUGCCCAUUGCGGUGAAUCGAGUGCGCAAUUCAAAGCCAGGUCAAAGUAAUGUGAAAUUCUCAAACAAAGUCAACAGCUCUUGGAUGUAUACCAUUAGAAGAAGGUUACUUAACGAUGGUCUACAGAUAACGGGCUUGAACAGAUGCCAUUAUAAUUAAUUUGGUAGCGAAGCGUUGGGUAAUUUGCUUUUGAUUACUUUUACAUUUGUUAUUCGUAUCUUAAAAUCAAGUGUAAUGCGUGUAAAAGCAAUGGAAAAUGUUUAAAUACAGUACGAAGACGCAAAUUGAGAAUGUCAA